rnacentral:rRNA from 1 species
GUGGGGAAUAUUGGACAAUGGGCGAAAGCCUGAUCCAGCCAUGCCGCGUGUGUGAAGAAGGUCUUCGGAUUGUAAAGCACUUUAAGUUGGGAGGAAGGGCAGUAAGUUAAUACCUUGCUGUUUUGACGUUACCGACAGAAUAAGCACCGGCUAACUUCGUGCCAGCAGCCGCGGUAAUACGAAGGGUGCAAGCGUUAAUCGGAAUUACUGGGCGUAAAGCGCGCGUAGGUGGUUUUGUAAGUUGGAGGUGAAAUCCCCGGGCUCAACCUGGGAACUGCCUCCAAAACUGCAUGACUAGAGUACGGUAGAGGGUAGAGGAAUUUCCUGUGUAGCGGUGAAAUGCGUAGAUAUAGGAAGGAACACCAGUGGCGAAGGCGACUACCUGGACUGAUACUGACACUGAGGUGCGAAAGCGUGGGGAGCAAACAGGAUUAGAAACCCCGGUAGUCC